UUAUGCACACAGUUUUAUAUUUAUUUAUUUGUAUGUUUAUUACUGUGCCAGCUGGCACCCUGUCCAGCAUUAGUUUCUCCUCUUAAUACUGCUAGGAUAAAUGGUUUUUCUCUGUCUUUCAGCUCAAUGAAGAAUUUCAGAGGAUCACAACUCUACGUUUAGAACCAUCAUUUAUGCUGAUGUUGGACCAAUAUACUCCAAAAUUAUUAUUCAUGUUUCAUAGCAAGGGAGGAGCACUUGGACAAAGAUUACAGAUCCAAAUGGCAAAACUUCAUCAGAUUUCAAACAAUUCUCCCAUUGAGAGGAAGCGAGAAGUGGUUUUAUGUUGUUUGGUUGAUUAUCUGGGUGAGAAAGUAGAUGACCUCAUUAAAUACUACCAAGAUGCUGAAAGAACCAGUAUAUUGCAGGACCUCACCCAGCAUGUGAUGAAAAUAUAUGUGAUCAAAGAGGG